rnacentral:rRNA from 1 species
AUUGAACGCUGGCGGCAGGCCUAACACAUGCCAGUCGAGCGGAUGAAGGGAGCUUGCUCCUGGAUUCAGCGGCGGACGGGUGAGUAAUGCCUAGGAAUCUGCCUGGUAGUGGGGGAUAACGUCCGGAAACGGGCGCUAAUACCGCAUACGUCCUGAGGGAGAAAGUGGGGGAUCUUCGGACCUCACGCUAUCAGAUGAGCCUAGGUCGGAUUAGCUAGUUGGUGGGGUAAAGGCCUACCAAGGCGACGAUCCGUAACUGGUCUGAGAGGAUGAUCAGUCACACUGGAACUGAGACACGGUCCAGACUCCUACGGGAGGCAGCAGUGGGGAAUAUUGGACAAUGGGCGAAAGCCUAAUCCAGCCAUGCCGCGUGUGUGAAGAAGGUCUUCGGAUUGUAAAGCACUUUAAGUUGGGAGGAAGGGCAGUAAGUUAAUACCUUGCUGUUUUGACGUUACCAACAGAAUAAGCACCGGCUAACUUCGUG